rnacentral:rRNA from 1 species
GGGCUAUGGAAGGUGGCGAUGCCCCUUAAAAUUAAGGUGUUCCUUUGGCAAAUGUUUCGGGAUAGGCUCCCUUCGUCCAACAAUGUGGCUAAACGAAACGGAACGUCAGACGGCUCGUGUGCGAUAUGUGGUGCGCACGAAGACGCGAACCACAUCUUUUUUAACUGCCACCUCGCCCGGUUUGCUUGGAGCGCCGUUAUGGAAGCUCUCGGCCAAAACCGGAACCCUCGCUCUAGUGGGGAGCUGCGGGCCAUCUUUCGUUCUCAUAGGGGCGACUAUGCUAGAGUUCUUUGGUGUUGCGUUGGGCGCUGUUGUGGUCGCUUUGGACUACCCGUAAUAAGAUUACUAUUGAACACAAGUUCCCAUCUCACCCCGCUGACAUUAUUUUCCAAUACCACUUGUUCCUCCAGACCUGGAUGUUGUUGGGGAAACGGUGGGACACUAAGAGGAUGGAGGAAGCCAUGGAGAGGAUCCGCGCCAUCCAGACUACUACACGUCAAUGAUCCCCAUGAUGUUUUUGCGGGAGGUUGCCUCCUUCGUUUGGCCGUUGUCGGACUUUUAAAUUUAUCUCAAGCCUCGGCCGGUUGCAUGUUGUAA